rfam:Gemmatimonas sp. SG8_38_2 WOR_8-12_23405, whole genome shotgun sequence.
GCCCCCAUCGUCUAGUGGCCUAGGAUACCUGGUUCUCAGCCAGGAGACCGGGGUUCGACUCCCCGUGGGGGUA